AUUGAACGCUGGCGGCAGGCCUAACACAUGCAAGUCGAGCGAGCGGCGGACGGGUGAGUAGUGUGGGGGGCUCUGCGCGAUAGAGGGGGAUCAAUACGGGACACGGUGUCUAACACCGCAUACUCUCAGGUGACCCCAUAUGGGAGUAGCUAGGAGGUGGGGUAAAGGCUCACCUAGGCGAUGAUCUCUAGCUGGUCUGAGAGGAUGAUCAGCCACACUGGGACUGAGACACGGCCCAGACUCCUACGGGAGGCAGCAGUGGGGAAUAUUGCACAAUGGGCGCAAGCCUGAUGCAGCCAUGCCGCGUGUAUGAAGAAGGCCUUAGGGUUGUAAAGUACUUUCAGCGGGGAGGCGUUACCGGCAGAAGAAGCACCGGCUAACUCCGUGCCAGCAGCCGCGGUAAUAC
rnacentral:rRNA from 1 species